rnacentral:rRNA from 1 species
GAUGAACGCUGACAGCAUGCUUAACACAUCAGCAACUGAUUGGUGGCGGCCGGGGGAGUAACGCGUAAGGAACUUGCCUCCCAGGUAGGGGCAACAUUUGGAAACGAAUGCUAGUACAUAAUACUGUGAGAGAGCUUUGCGUCCCAUUAGCUCGUUGGGGAGGUACCGACUCACCCAUGCGAGGAUGGGUAGCCAGCCUGGGAGGGUGAUCGGCCACAAGGUCAUUGGGACAGCGGCCGUACGCAUACUUGAGGAAGGAGUGCGGAAUAGUGGAAAACGGACCAAAGUCUGAUCCAGGAAUUCUGGGUGCACGAUGAAGUUUUGGGAAUGUAAAGUGUUUGGAUGUUAGAAGCGGUACCAACAGAAGAAGUGACGGCUAACUACGUGCCAGCAGCCGCGGUAAUUC